CUGGGUUAGGGCUGAAAACAGGUGGGGCUCUGGGUUAGGACUGAAAACAGGUGGGGCUCUGGGUUAGGGCUGAAAACAGGUGGGGCUCUGGAUUAGGGCUGAAAACAGGUGGGGCUCUGGGUUAGGACUAGAGCUCUGUCCUGAAGGACGAGUCGCACGCUGAUUAGUUUGCAUUUCCUUCCUCUGUCACUUGUGGUUGUCGUGUGGUUGUUCCCUGAGGAUUGCUAGCCAAUAGGGGAUCAUAUUGGACCAUGUAGCCUAUUGGAAUCAUUAUGGAACUCAGACCACACUUAGCAGGUUAAACCUGGAGCCUGGCGCGAGGUUCACAACGACUGGACCGUUGUCUUCACAGUUCCUUGAUUAGUGAUGAUUAUUAGGUUAGAUUUAUAGACUAGUAUAUAAACUACUGUUCAACCCCUAUUGUACACUUCCAAUAUUUCAUGAUUUGAACAAUUUAAUAUUUUUCAUGAUGAAUUUAACCACUGUAUUUUUGAUUCACCAAUAUAUUUUGUGCGUAAAAGCUCUCCAAACUUUUUUGUUUGUUUUGUUAGUGAUUCAUAAACACUUUCCUAACCCUAAAAUUAUAUACAAGAUCAGAGUAUUUUAAAAAUCAACCAAUCAGGUUGCUGAAUAGGAGAUGAAUAUGCAUGUAUGCAUGAUGCUCCCAGGUCAUGAUGCUCCCAAGUCAUGAUGCUCCCUGGUCAUGAUGCUCCCAGGUCAUGAUGCUCCCAGGUCAUGAUGCUCCCAGGUCAUGAUGCUCCCAGGUCAUGAUGCUCCCAAGUCAUGAUGCUCCCUGGUCAUGAUGCUCCCAGGUCAUGAUGCUCCCAGGUCAUGAUGCUCCCUGGUCAUGAUGCUCCCAGGUCAUGAUGCUCCCAGGUCAUGAUGCUCCCAGGUCAUGAUGCUCCCAGGUCAUGAUGCUCCCUGGUCAUGAUGCUCCCAGGUCAUGAUGCUCCCAGGUCAUGAUGCUCCCUGGUCAUGAUGCUCCCAGGUCAUGAUGCUCCCAGGUCAUGAUGCUCCCUGGUCAUGAUGCUCCCAGGUCAUGAUGCUCCCAGGUCAUGAUGCUCCCAGGUCAUGAUGCUCCCUGGUCAUGAUGCUCCCAGGUCAUGAUGCUCCCAGGUCAUGAUGCUCCCUGGUCAUGAUGCUCCCAGGUCAUGAUGCUCCCAGGUCAUGAUGCUCCCUGGUCAUGAUGCUCCCAGGUCAUGAUGCUCCCAGGUCAUAAUGCUCCCUGGUCAUGAUGCUCCCAGGUUAUGAUGCUCUCUGGUCAUGAUGCUCCCAGGUCAUUUAUUACAACAGUGUUUCAACUCUUAACGUUUUCAUCAGGCAUCCAUCUUUCAUUAAUCCCUAAUAUUCUGAUCCAUUCUGUCCAUGUAUUCUAGUGAGUCUGUGGAGGAAAUUAUCAUUUAAAGGUACACCAACUUUUAAAGGGAUGACUUUAUUAAGAUAAAUGUGCUGAAAACCCCAUUGAAUGGAAAACACCACGAGAAAAUCUGUUGUCCAGCAAGUGGGAGGGUUCUUAGCAGUUGAAUGAAAGGUAUUGAGCGCGCGCAAGGGAACCACGCCUGCAAAGCCCAUUUAAAAAGUGAGUCUGAACACCAACUACUGAGAAGUGCAUAGGAAAGGCGUACAUACGUGAGUCUGAGUCGAACCCAAUUUAAAUAUUAAAUACGAAAAACGGUGAUUUCAUGCUGAACCUCUCAUAUUAAUUAAACUCCAAUAGUAUUCACUAAGUAGAUGGUUUAUAUUUAGGAUCAUGUUUUACACAGCUUUGUCAUUUUAUUCUUAAAAAUAAAAUAAAAAAUCUUAUUUAAUAUUUCCAAAUAUUUUACAUUUGAUAAGGCCACACAGAAGACCAGAAAUAAUUACAGAAACCUGUAAAAAAUCUGGAGUACCCAAAAUGGCCACUAGAUGUCUUUUAUAGAUUACAUAAAAUCCUUGAAAGAUACCACCAUUUUGGUAGUUUUGCUGGUAAACUUAGAACGUUUCCAUCACUAUACCCUCCCUUUGCAACGCUACCUGUGUCUCUGCUCUCGUUGUG